GACUCCUCAGGUCACCUUCUCACAAUGAGGCUCCCUGCUCAGCUCCUGGGGCUGUUAGUGCUCUGGCUCCCUGGAUCCAGUGGGGACAUUGUGAUGACCCAGACUCCACUCUCCCUGCCCGUCACCCCUGGAGAGCCGGCCUCCAUCUCCUGCAGGUCUAGUCAGAGCCUCCUGCAUAGUGAUGGAUACACCUAUUUGCAUUGGUACCUGCAGAAGCCGGGCCAGUCUCCACGGCUCCUGAUCUAUUUGGUUUCCAACCGGGCCUCUGGAGUCCCUGAUAGGUUCAGUGGCAGUGGGUCAGGCACUGAUUUCACCCUGAAAAUCAGCAGGGUGGAGACUGAGGAUGUUGGGGUUUAUUACUGCAUGCAAACUCUACAAACUCCUCCCACAGUGCUACAUCCUCGAACAAAAACCUCCCUGCUGGAUUGGUCCAGCUGCCCACAUAGGCUGCUUGUCUGAGGGAGCAGCUGAGCAGAGUCUCUGAGUCUGCAGAAGAGAAUGCUGUUGAAGAUAUCAGGGCAGGGUUUGCUGCUGAGGACACUGGUCCAUGACAGCCUCAGUAGCACCUCAGAUUUCACAUGUUAAGGCCCCACCAGCAGUCACAGCCUGGGGAAGGCAUCAGGAGGAGAAUUCAUGCGGGCCACAUGCCCUGGGAGCAACCGGCUAUGAUGAAGGUAGAAUGAAUGAAAGCUCCCAUCCUCACCGUCCCUGUCUUGCCCACAUUUGUCAAGUUCAUGCAACUGUCAGAAUAACCAGACCAUGGAUGCAGUUUAGUGACAAUAUCAGUAUGGUAAUACAUAUGGGAAAUGACCAUCUUGGGGUUUAUUUCACCCAUGAUGACACUUAGUCAUACUGGGAAAUUCAUAACUCUCCCAUCUUCCUAAUUCUUCUCUAUGACUCCCACUAAACCCUCCUCUCCAGUGUCUUACAGGUAAAAGCAUUCUA